rnacentral:rRNA from 1 species
GACGAACGCUGGCGGCGUGCCUAAUACAUGCAAGUUGAGCGCUGAAGGUUGGUACUUGUACCAACUGGAUGAGCAGCGAACGGGUGAGUAACGCGUGGGGAAUCUGCCUUUGAGCGGGGGACAACAUUUGGAAACGAAUGCUAAAACCCCAUAAAAAUUUUAAACACAAGUUUUAAGUUUGAAAGAUGCAAUUCCAUCACCCAAAGAUGAUCCCGCGUUGUAUUAGCUAGUUGGGGAGGUAAAGGCUCACCAAGGCGAUGAUACAUAGCCGACCUGAGAGGGUGAUCGGCCACAUUGGGACUGAGACACGGCCCAAACUCCUACGGGAGGCAGCAGUAGGGAAUCUUCGGCAAUGGACGAAAGUCUGACCGAGCAACGCCGCGUGAGUGAAGAAGGUUUUCGGAUCGUAAAACUCGGUUGGUAGAGAAGAACGUUGGUGAGAGUGGAAAGCUCAUCAAGUGACGGUAACUACCCAGAAAGGGACGGCUAACUACGUG